AGAGUUUGAUCAUGGCUCAGGAUGAACGCUAGCGGCAGGCUUAACACAUGCAAGUCGAGGGGUAUAGGUUUUCGGACCUAGAGACCGGCGCACGGGUGCGUAACGCGUAUGCAAUCUACCUUUUACAGAGGGAUAGCCCAGAGAAAUUUGGAUUAAUACCUCAUAGUAUUAUUGAAUGGCAUCAUUUAAUAAUUAAAGUCACAACGGUAAAAGAUGAGCAUGCGUCCCAUUAGCUUGUUGGUAAGGUAACGGCUUACCAAGGCAACGAUGGGUAGGGGUCCUGAGAGGGAGAUCCCCCACACUGGUACUGAGACACGGACCAGACUCCUACGGGAGGCAGCAGUGAGGAAUAUUGGUCAAUGGGCGCAAGCCUGAACCAGCCAUGCCGCGUGCAGGAUGACGGUCCUAUGGAUUGUAAACUGCUUUUGUACAGGAAGAAACAUCUCUACGUGUAGAGACUUGACGGUACUGUAAGAAUAAGGAUCGGCUAACUCCGUGCCAGCAGCCGCGGUAAUACGGAGGAUCCAAGCGUUAUCCGGAAUCAUUGGGUUUAAAGGGUCCGUAGGCGGUUUUGUAAGUCAGUGGUGAAAGCCCAUCGCUCAACGGUGGAACGGCCAUUGAUACUGCAAGACUUGAAUUAUUAGGAAGUAACUAGAAUAUGUAGUGUAGCGGUGAAAUGCUUAGAGAUUACAUGGAAUACCAAUUGCGAAGGCAGGUUACUACUAAUGGAUUGACGCUGAUGGACGAAAGCGUGGGGAGCGAACAGGAUUAGAUACCCUAGUAGUCC
rnacentral:rRNA from 1 species